rnacentral:misc_RNA from 1 species
AAAAGAAAAAAAAGAAAAAAAAAUCAAACUGUAAAUGAUUGGGAAGCUUCGAUUCUCCAAUCUUUCAAGCAUGCUCCAAAUUUCAAUACCCUUUUUAUUAAGUUACUUGUUUUUCUUCACACAUUCGGUUAAGCCAAACUGCUGAACAAUCAAGACUUCAAAAUUGACAAGGGUGUCAUAUUUUAACAAGUUAUAAAUCAUACUAUAUCAUGAGGGAUUUCUCAUUUAAUUAAUGAUCAUUCACAUCAAUCAAUUCAGUAUUAUUUUUAAAGUAGAAAAUUUUUGUCUGAAUCAAAUUCAUCAUCAUAGACUUAAUAUAAUAUGUGUGAUAUAACUGAAACUCAUAUGUUAAUUUAUUGGAUUCAAGCUAGACUAAGUUUAGGUAAAUACAAUCAAGAAUUUAUACCAUAGCUAUGCAAUGAAUUUAGAAAAGUAGAAUCUAACAAAUGGCAUGAGAUUGAAG